GGGGAAUAUUGGACAAUGGGCGAAAGCCUGAUCCAGCCAUGCCGCGUGUGUGAAGAAGGCCUUCGGGUUGUAAAGCACUUUAAGCGGGGAGGAAGGCCUUGGGACUAAUACUCCUGAGGAUUGACGUUACCCGCAGAAUAAGCACCGGCUAACUCUGUGCCAGCAGCCGCGGUAAUACAGAGGGUGCAAGCGUUAAUCGGAAUUACUGGGCGUAAAGCGCGCGUAGGCGGUUUGUUAAGUCGGAUGUGAAAUCCCCGGGCUCAACCUGGGCACGGCAUCCGAUACUGGCUGACUAGAGUGUGGGAGAGGAAGGUAGAAUUCCAGGUGUAGCGGUGAAAUGCGUAGAGAUCUGGAGGAAUACCGAUGGCGAAGGCAGCCUUCUGGCCUGACACUGACGCUGAGGUGCGAAAGCAUGGGGAGCAAAC
rnacentral:rRNA from 1 species